AGAACGAACGCUGGCGGCAGGCUUAACACAUGCAAGUCGAACGCCCCGCGAGGGGAGUGGCAGACGGGUGAGUAACGCGUGGGAAUCUACCCAGAACUUCGGAACAACUGAGGGAAACUUCAGCUAAUACCGGAUACGCCCUACGGGGGAAAGAUUUAUCGGUUCUGGAUGAGCCCGCGUUGGAUUAGCUAGUUGGUGGGGUAAUGGCCUACCAAGGCGACGAUCCAUAGCUGGUCUGAGAGGAUGAUCAGCCACACUGGGACUGAGACACGGCCCAGACUCCUACGGGAGGCAGCAGUGGGGAAUAUUGGACAAUGGGCGAAAGCCUGAUCCAGCCAUGCCGCGUGAGUGAUGAAGGCCUUAGGGUUGUAAAGCUCUUUCAGUAGGGAAGAUAAUGACGGUACUACAGAAGAAGCCCGGCUAACUUCGUGCCAGCAGCCGC
rnacentral:rRNA from 1 species